GUUAAUUGGAUCCUGUCCCUGUUUGUGCCACUGGCCUCUCACCCCCGAUACAAAUUCAUGUUUGGGGCUGUUCCCCAUGUUCCUCAAUCCCAGCAACUUCUCCUUUCUUGGAGGAAACUUGUUGCCCUGAAUCAUUCUCCUUCCUGCAGGCUGCAGUGGGUUAAAUUUCCCAGUGUUGAUCUUUUCCCCUCUCCUUUGAGAAUCAUUUCUUCCCCCCUUUAUCUGUAUUAAAAUGUUUGCCGCUGAAAGAGACCAGCCACAUCUUUAAUACACAUCAGAGCCAGAGGCCUCCCCCUGUUUGGGGAUCAGUUGUUCCCAGCUGGUAACAGGAGAGUUGGCUGGACCCUUUUCUUUUCUCCAGCUGGCACGGGAUGAGGUCAUCACUCUGAGUGCAGUGGGGUCCAGAAGUAUCCCCAACCCCAUGGCAAAGGGUUUGUGUGAGGGAUUGAUUCCUGCAGUGCUAAGAUGUAGCCAUCUCUGGGGUGGAUCCAUGGUGGCCAUUAUUUGCUAGUGACAGGGCAUGGACGUUUCUUACCUUUCUUGCCCUCCAGGCCUUCCAUUCUCCUGUUCAAGAGGCAUCCCCCAGGCUCCCUCUGCCUGUGUGACUGGCCAGCAGGGGGUGGUGUUAACUUUCUAGCCACUUCUCACACUCUGUGAGGCUGCGGAAUAACGUCCAUGUUUUGUUCCAGUUCAUCUCGCCCUCUCAUUGGACAGGGGAGAGAGAUGGCUGCAGAAGAGCCAGUUCAGGGGCCGGUGACCUUCGAGGAGGUGGCUGUGUAUUUCACCAG